GUGGAGUACAAGCAGCGCUGUAGCCACGGAGAUACAGCGCUGUAUGUGCCUUGCCAGUGUGGACGGGAAGUGAGUUACAGUGCUAUGAAGCCACUAACAGUGCUGUAACUCUCAAGUGUAGCCAAGGCCUAAGUCAAGGCUGAAAAUUCCACUGAGCGGUAGGGCAGCUGUCGUUAGAUGCUGCAAUGCUGAUGCUCAGUCACCUUCUGGCUCUAGUGUUGAGUGCGCCAUGCAGUGCCCUUUAAAUAUUGCCGCCUUUAUGGGCUGUAUUCAUGCUCAUUGUUUGGAAGCUGAAUGCAGGAUGUUCAGUGUUUCGCCUUGGCAUCAGUUCUUAAACCUCCCCUCCCUGCAAAAAAACAACCUGCUGCUUUUCUCUCUCCUCUAGUGACUCUGACAUCACUGCAUCAGUUAGACCAAUUCCAGCAAGGACAAGUGUGAUAUUGCUUUAAAUACAAGGGCCUAGGAUGCUAGGACUCUAGCUACUUGCAUUGUAACUCUGCUCCUGCGUGAAUGUCUAGCCUUUGCUAUUCUCCAUGGUGAUGUGACGCAUCCCAGCACUGGGACGAGCAAUUCCACAGCUCUUUGAAGGGAUGGUAUUCAGAGCACUGGGGGAAUAAAUAUUUAGCACUCAUGACAGCCGCCAGAUCGGGUCCUCUUUGAGCUAGGAAAGGCAUGCAUGUCAGCCAGUUAGGGAAUAGCAGAGAUUCCACUCCCGCCUGUCAGGGAGAAAAGCUUACAUUGCACUCAGGCCUCUUGGUCUGACACUGCAAUAGUUCUUCCCUCUCACGUUUGUUGCCAUACUCCCAAACCUACCCCACCCAGUUGCUGUGGGCCAGCACAGCUAAUGUUUAGAAAUCUCUAUGAAAACUGUGAGCAACCUCAUUCAGCACCUUUGCCCCUAGCUGCCUCAAUUUCCCUGCUCUCAGGCUUUCAAAUCAUGUCCCAGAUGCUUGGGCAAGUCAAAUAUCCCUUCCAGGAGAUGGUAUUAAAACACCCCAGGUCAGCUAAACAAAACAGACACUCAUGCUGGGCCUUCCCUGGAUUGCUAGGGGUGCCUUACCAGGGCCUUGCACUGAGCAAAUCAGGGCGAUGGAAGAGAGACUUCCCCUCCCCCUUAAUGAACAAGGGCAAGUGUCCAAGCCCCUCUUUGCUGUCGGCUUUUCAGUACCCCCUUUCCCAGAGCCAGCUUGUUCUCCCUGAAUGCUUCCCUCCAAUGAUCCCUUUCCUGGCCGGGCACUUUUACCAGCCCCUCCCUCUGGGAAGCCUGGAGAGCCCCUUCCCCAGUCCGCCCUGACGCUGGCCUGCCUGUACAUUCCCCUGUAUCAGGACAGCCCCAGCUCUUUCCUUCAGCCCCCACAGCUCUCUGCGCAGGGGAGUGCUGCCAGCCCUGCUCCAAAGAGGCCUCCUAGGGCCUUCCUGGGCUCUUGAGCCCCCCCUCUUGUGGGAAGCUUUGCCUGGGGCUACCAGUGCGUGAUGCCUGGUCACCUGCCCCAAGUCCAAACCCAUCCCGUGCCUGGCAGGCGGGCUGAGCCUAGCCCCCCCCCGAAGGACCAGGCCACCCUAUGACACGGGUUUCUGGGCUGGAGUCACAAAGGGAUGUGGGCACCUAACUGCCUCUUUCAAUAUUUAGGUGCCACUGAUGGUCCCAAAAGCCCUGCUCAGCUGCCAUCUCAAUGCCCACAGGCACCUAAGUUCGCCUGGUGGGCAACCUUGCGUGUGCCUAAGUCCUGAUGCUGCCCCAGCAGGAUGCUCCAGCCAGGCAAUUCCCUGCCUCUCUCCUGUGAGGGACCCACUCUGAAGUCUUCUCCAGAGAAGAAUGAAAACAAACCCAUUUGUAACGCCCAGG